rnacentral:rRNA from 1 species
GACGAACGCUGGCGGCGUGGAUUAGGCAUGCAAGUCGAACGGUAUCAUCCUUUCGGGGGUGAGAGAGUGGCGAACUGGUGAGUAACACGUAGGUUAUCUACCCUCAAGACGGGGACAACCCAGGGAAACUUGGGCUAAUACCGGAUGUGAGCAACUUUUAGUUGUUUGAAAGGUGGCGUAAGCUGUCGCUUGGGGAUGAGCCUGCGUCCUAUUAGUUAGUUGGUGAGGUAACGGCUCACCUAGGCAAUGAUAGGUAGGCGGCCUUAACGGGUGGUCGCCCACACUGGGAUUGAGAUACGGCCCAGACUCCUACGGGAGGCAGCAGUCGAGAAUAGUCUACAAUGGUCGGAAGACUGAUAGUGCGACGCCGCGUGAACGAGGGAGCCCUUCGGGGUGUAAAGUUCUUUUCUAUACGAGCAGUGCUAUAUAUAUGGAUAGUAUAUAUAGAGGGAUAGUAGUAUAGGAAUAAGCAACGGCUAACUCCGUGCCAGCAGCCGCGGUAAUGAGUAGUA